rnacentral:rRNA from 1 species
GACGAACGCUGGCGGCGCGCCUAACACAUGCAAGUCGAACGAGCGAGAGAGAGCUUGCUUUCUUGAGCGAGUGGCGAACGGGUGAGUAACGCGUGAGGAACCUGCCUCAAAGAGGGGGACAACAGUUGGAAACGACUGCUAAUACCGCAUAAGCCCACGGUGCCGCAUGGCACAGAGGGAAAAGGAGCAAUCCGCUUUGAGAUGGCCUCGCGUCCGAUUAGCUAGUUGGUGAGGUAACGGCCCACCAAGGCGACGAUCGGUAGCCGGACUGAGAGGUUGAACGGCCACAUUGGGACUGAGACACGGCCCAGACUCCUACGGGAGGCAGCAGUGGGGAAUAUUGCACAAUGGGGGAAACCCUGAUGCAGCGACGCCGCGUGGAGGAAGAAGGUCUUCGGAUUGUAAACUCCUGUUGUUGGGGAAGAUAUUGACGGUACCCAACAAGGAAGUGACGGCUAACUACGUG